UAAACGGAUGCGAUGAUGAUCGGCUGGU
rnacentral:sRNA from 1 species